rnacentral:rRNA from 1 species
AUUGAACGCUGGCGGCAUGCCUUACACAUGCAAGUCGAACGGCAGCGGGCCUUCGGGUGCCGGCGAGUGGCGAACGGGUGAGUAAUGCAUCGGAACGUGCCAUUGAGUGGGGGAUAACGUAGCGAAAGUUACGCUAAUACCGCAUAUUCUGUGAGCAGGAAAGCAGGGGAUCGCAAGACCUUGCGCUGAUUGAGCGGCCGAUGUCAGAUUAGCUAGUUGGUGAGGUAAAGGCUCACCAAGGCGACGAUCUGUAGCGGGUCUGAGAGGAUGAUCCGCCACACUGGAACUGAGACACGGUCCAGACUCCUACGGGAGGCAGCAGUGGGGAAUUCUGGACAAUGGGGGCAACCCUGAUCCAGCCAUGCCGCGUGAGUGAAGAAGGCC